rnacentral:rRNA from 1 species
CCUACGGGGGACAGCAGUGGGGAAUAUUGCACAAUGGGGGGAACCCUGAUGCAGCAACGCCGCGUGAGUGAUGACGGCCUUCGGGUUUUUAAGCUCUGUCUUCACGGACGAUAAUGACGGUACCUGAGGAGGAAGCCACGGCUAACUCCGUGCCAGCAGCCGCAGUAAUACGGAGGUGGCGAGCGUUGUCCGGAUUUACUGGGCGUAAGGGGGGCGUAGGUGGACUUUUAAGUGAGCUGUGAAAUACUGAGGCUCAACAUGAGGGCUGCCGUUCAAACUGGAAGUCUAGAGUGCAGAAGCGGCAGAUGGAAUGUGUAGUGUAGCGGUGAAAUGCAUAGAGAUUACAAAGAACACCGAUGGCGAAGGCGAUUCUCUGGACUGUAACUGACGCUGAGGCUCGAAAGCGUGGGGAGCGAACAGGAUUAGAUACCCGAGUAGUC